GUUUAAUAGAUACAACAUAAACAAUUUUACAGGCACAACUUAUAUACAUCUUCAAGCAUCAAAAUUCAUUGUUGCCAAGGUCUUAGCUAUUGUUGCUUCCGCUGUUCUUUCCAGAAGCUCCUGCUUUCUGCAGCCGGCUCGCACUUGGCUGCCGAGGCAUCCUCUGGGCAGAUCCUUCCCGGCUGCUCCUUUCUACGAGAACCUGGGUCCCGCUGACGGCAGAACUGCUUUUAUUUCUCCCUCGGCUGUCGGCGGGCGGCGCGGCGGGGGGAGCGCUCUCGGGGCCCGCCGGCAGCCGCUGCCCCGCGCACAUGGACUUCAGCACCUGGAAGACGGCGAGCGGCGCCACGUUCAUGCGCAGCAGGUCCAGCAGCACCUUGAACACCUCCGGGUCCAGCCCGCUGCCCGCCGCCUGAGCCAGCUCGAACAGCUCCGCCUCCUCCGCGCUCAGCACCUUCCGCCGCGGCCGAGCCGCCGCCGCCACCGCCGCCUUCCCCAGCGCCGCGCCCGACAUGGCCGCCCCGCGCUGCCGCCAGACCCGCGCGCCGGUUCCCGAGGCACCGCCCCUCACGGCCUGGC
rnacentral:lncRNA from 1 species